ensembl:lncRNA novel transcript
CAUUAGGAGAGGACUCUGCCCGCUGUCUGUCUCACAAUCUGCUCGAAAUAUCUUGGUCAGGAAUCUCAGGAUGUCUAGUGACCCCGAGUGAGGUGCUGCCUUUUAUUCCUGAGCAUCUUUGGAAGCAGGAAGCAGGGAGCAACGGUAGCGAGAGGUAUUCGGAUCUGAGUAUCAGCAGGAAGAAGAAACAGAGGAAGAAGUCCCCCAUAAGGAAGGCGUGAGGAGCGCAGGAAGCGCUGUUUCCCUGCCUGAGAUCUUUAUUCUACUAGGUCUUUAUUCUACGUAGCCGAUACGCUGUAAAAUUCUGGAAGAGAAGGCUAGGGGUUUAAGGUUGGUAAUCUCUCAGAAGAUCUGCGUCUCGGUGACGGAAAGAACUAAGGGGCAUACAGAAUAUAUUUCCUGUCCAAUAAUGACAGAAAUACUUGAUUUUGAAGAGUAACAGUUAUAGCUUGGAAUAGAAGACUGGAGGCAGUUUGAGGGCCGACUUCAGAGUCCUGGUUGAAAUGAAGGUUGAGAAGUAUAAUGCAGUCAGUGCAGGUGACUUUCAGCUGGGUAUCUAGUCCUAUCAGAGGUAAAAACUGUGGUUGCCCUAACCAAAACAAUAGGACUAAGAGACCUUAAAUGAAAGAUGAAAGUUAUUAUAGAGAGAAAUGAUCAUACUGGCAAACAAUUCACCUCCAAGAAUUAUGAUGUGACUCUUUGUCAGAUACUCACAGAUGGAAUUCUAAACUGGUAGCAGACCCUGAAGGACAAUGUCACCAUCAGAACCACCAACAAGGACAAACUGUCCCUCUCCUGCAUCACCCUGCAUACCAUCUGCAUCCACAAAAAUGCUCAUUCUUCAACAAGCCUCCUAUUUCUUUUGGGUGACUGGGAACACUGCCCAGCACCUCCAUCACAUGCUUUAGCGCUUCCCACCCUAACUUAGGGUCCCAUAUGCCUCCUGUUUCUUCUUGACCAGUGACCUGCCACUGUGGGCACUGUCAUUCUACAUGUCAGUGAGUGCAGAGUGCUAUGGUUACCAUGCAGACUAUCUUUGAGCUGACUCUGCAGGCCAGUGACCAGGGUUCAACUUGCUCAGUGUCAUCCUGAACCUGCAUGUGAUGGUGGAUGACCAUUGCAAAAAUGCAAGGACACUAUGCCAGGAGUUGCAGCCAAGUGGGGCCCUCUUUGAUGCUGCACCACUCACAAUGCAACCCAGCUAUCCCAUCACCAAAGUGGACACCAGCUGGGGCAUAAAGGCUGACUGUCCUAUCAUGUGCUUCAGGCCAGCUAAUGUGGCUCUUCAAACUAGGGAUGUGCACGAGCUAGAUGCGUGCCGUGUCACUGUGGGUAACAGAGAUGCAACCUGCCAAGGUUUGUUGGUCACCGUGGUCAAUGGUGAAUCAUCACGCUGAAACAUCACCUGGUUGCUGCUCAUAGUUUGCAGGAGUUGCUACCAGACCUCAGCAAUCGCCCAGCACCCAACAGCAGGCAGCAGACAGCACCCAACAGCUGGCGAUGGCCGUUGCCUUGAUCUCCAUGCUGUUUCUCCUCAGUGUGACUCUGGCCAUCUCUCUGAACCUGCAAUGCCCCCUAUAGCUCCAUUGCCUGGGGCUGUUUUCAGCUGGAUCUCUGGUCCAAGCCCGGAUAUGGAGUUGUCUCCAACUUAAAGAAAGGAAAUUUGCCCUGUUCCUACAACGUAUGUGUGGUUUUAGAUAUUUUUAAAAUCUUAAUUUCUUUAACUCAAGAAACAGCUUUGAACCAGGUAUUCUCUGCAGUGCCAGCAAUGAAGCUUUGUUUUAUUUUUGUUUUUGUAGAAACGGGGUUCACUAUAUUGACCAAGCUGGUCUCAAACUCCUGGCCUCAAGUAAUCUGCCCACCUUGGCCUCCCAAAGUGCUGGGAUUGCAGGCGUGAGCCACUGUGUGUGGGCAGCAAUGAAGCUUUAAAUGUUGCAUUUGAUUCAAAUGUAUUUGUGUGAUAUUUUAACAUUUUUAUUUUAUACUUACCAUCCUUUUAUAAAUCACUCCUGCGUGUUUUUGGUUGCUGAAAGUAGGGAGCUCUACAGGUUUACUUACUAGUUCUUAUGUAUAUUUUAAUUUACCUCAUUAGCUCACAAUUUCUUUGGGGAAAAGUUUAUGCCUAUUAAUGUGUAUUCUGAAAAGUUACAUUCUCUGUUAAAGAGUUACUUCCUUGCAAUAUUGAAGAUGAUUUAUUGCACCUUUAAAUUUCUACUCUUUGGCUCCAUGUACUUGUCUUUGAGAAGCUGAGAAACUGUAGAUUUGGUUAAGAACUAAAGUUCUCUUUCCAAAAACUA